rnacentral:rRNA from 1 species
CGCGGUAAUUCCAGCUCCAAUAGCGUAUAUUAAAGUUGUUGCAGGUAAAAAGCUCGUAGUUGAUCGGGGGCAUCAGUAUUCAGUUGUCAGAGGGAAAUUCUUGGAUUUACUGAAGACUAACUAAGACGAUCAGAUACCGUCGUAGUCUUAACCGUAAACUAUGCCGACUAGGGAUCGGGCGAACGGGGAGGUACUGAUACAGGGCUCUUUUGGGUCUUGUAAUUGGAAUACCGAUUGAAUGGCUCAGUGAGGCGUUCGGACUGGCUCGGGGAGGUUGGCAACGACCACUGAAAUUCUUGGAUUUACUGAAGACUAACUAAGACGAUCAGAUACCGUCGUAGUCUUAACCGUAAACUAUGCCGACUAGGGAUCGGGCGACGCGGUAAUUCCAGCUCCAAUAGCGUAUAUUAAAGUUGUUGCAGGUAAAAAGCUCGUAGUUGAUCGGGGGCAUCAGUAUUCAGUUGUCAGAGG